rnacentral:lncRNA from 1 species
UCGACCAUGCCAGUAUCCGAUCGACUUCACCCGACACUAUUUAUGAGGAAACUUGACAUUCAAUACCUGACCGACUACUUCCUCGAUAUCCUACCGACUACGAUGAUCAAGUCGUGCCACCCUCCAGGUUCAAUCAAUCAACCUUCUGACAAAGACGUCGGUCGAAUAUUCCGAUAUUAGGUGUAGCCGCCAUGCCACCCCAUUAGACCACAUUAGGUCACAUCACCCAAAAGCCAUACCCAGGAUGGCUGGCAGUGCGCCAUGAUGGGGGGCCGCGACUUCAUUAAUUACUCUACACGCACGGCAGGAACCACCGCCACGGCCACC